rnacentral:rRNA from 1 species
CAUGUCCUUUUGAUUAUUAUUUAAGGUCUAAUCUGCUCAAUGAGGAGUUAAAUUGCCGCGGUAUUUUGACCGUGCGAAGGUAGCAUAAUAAUUAGUUUCUUUAUUGGAAGCUGGAAUGAAUGAUUGGACGAGAAAACAACUGUCUCUGUUAGAUUUUUUAUUGAAAUUAACUUUUAAGUAAAAAGGCUUAAAUGCUUCUAGAAGACGAGAAGACCCUAUAGAGUUUUAUAUUUUGUUAAGUUAAAAGUUUUUGGAAUUAGUUGUUUUUACUUUUUAUUAAUAUUUGGUUGGGGUGACUGGAAGAUUGAAUUCACUCUUCUAAUAAUUUUAUAUUGAUCUGUAGAUUUAAAUUCUGAUUUUUUCAAGUUUAAAAUAAAUUACCUUAGGGAUAACAGCGUAAUUUCUUUUUAGAGUUCUUAUUGUAAGAGAAGUUUGCGACCUCGAUGUUGGAUUAAAAUUAAUUUUGGGUGCAGUAGCUCAAUAAUUAGGUCUGUUCGACCUUUAAAAUUUUACAUGAUCUGAGU